UACAGGGGGGGCAAGCGUUGUUCGGAAUUACUGGGCGUAAAGGGUCUGUAGGUGGCCAACUAAGUCAUCCGUGAAAUCCCUCAGCUUAACUGGGGAACUGCGUGUGAUACUGGUCGGCUUGAGUGCAGGAGAGGAACGCGGAAUUCCAGGUGUAGCGGUGAAAUGCGUAGAUAUCUGGAGGACACCGGUGGCGAAGGCGGCGUUCUGGACUGUAACUGACACUGAGAGACGAAAGCCAGGGGAGCAAACGGG
rnacentral:rRNA from 1 species